rnacentral:rRNA from 1 species
GUGGGGAAUAUUGGACAAUGGGCGAAAGCCUGAUCCAGCCAUGCCGCGUGUGUGAAGAAGGUCUUCGGAUUGUAAAGCACUUUAAGUUGGGAGGAAGGGCAGUAAGUUAAUACCUUGCUGUUUUGACGUUACCGACAGAAUAAGCACCGGCUAACUUCGUGCCAGCAGCCGCGGUAAUACGAAGGGUGCAAGCGUUAAUCGGAAUUACUGGGCGUAAAGCGCGCGUAGGUGGUUUUGUAAGUUGGAGGUGGAAUCCCCGGGCUCAACCUGGGAACUGCCUCCAAAACUGCAUGACUAGAGUACGGUAGAGGGUAGUGGAAUUUCCUGUGUAGCGGUGAAAUGCGUAGAUAUAGGAAGGAACACCAGUGGCGAAGGCGACUACCUGGACUGAUACUGACACUGAGGUGCGAAAGCGUGGGGAGCAAACAGGAUUAGAAACCCGGGUAGUCC